rnacentral:rRNA from 1 species
AGCGUUAUCCGGAAUUAUUGGGCGUAAAGAGCUCGUAGGCGGUUUGUCGCGUCUGCCGUGAAAGUCCGGGGCUUAACUCCGGAUCUGCGGUGGGUACGGGCAGACUAGAGUGAUGUAGGGGAGACUGGAAUUCCUGGUGUAGCGGUGAAAUGCGCAGAUAUCAGGAGGAACACCGAUGGCGAAGGCAGGUCUCUGGGCAUUAACUGACGCUGAGGAGCGAAAGCAUGGGGAGCGAACAGGAUUAGAUACCCUGGUAGUCCAUGCCGUAAACGUUGGGCACUAGGUGUGGGGGACAUUCCACGUUUUCCGCGCCGUAGCUAACGCAUUAAGUGCCCCGCCUGGGGAGUACGGCCGCAAGGCUAAAACUCAAAGGAAUUGACGGGGGCCCGCACAAGCGGCGGAGCAUGCGGAUUAAUUCGAUGCAACGCGAAGAACCUUACCAAGGCUUGACAUGAACUAGUAAGGCCUAGAGAUAGGUCCCCCACUUGUGGCUGGUUUACAGGUGGUGCAUGGUUGUCGUCAGCUCGUGUCGUGAGAUGUUGGGUUAAGUCCCGCAACGAGCGCAACCCUCGUUCUAUGUUGCCAGCGCGUUAUGGCGGGGACUCAUAGGAGACUGCCGGGGUCAACUCGGAGGAAGGUGGGGACGACGUCAAAUCAUCAUGCCCCUUAUGUCUUGGGCUUCACGCAUGCUACAAUGGCCGGUACAAAGGGUUGCGAUACUGUGAGGUGGAGCUAAUCCCAAAAAGCCGGUCUCAGUUCGGAUUGGGGUCUGCAACUCGACCCCAUGAAGUCGGAGUCGCUAGUAAUCGCAGAUCAGCAACGCUGCGGUGAAUACGUUCCCGGGCCUUGUACACACCGCCCGUCAAGUCACGAAAGUUGGUAACACCCGAAGCCGGUGGUCCUA